CAAUAGCGUAUAUUAAAGUUGUUGCGGUUAAAAAGCUCGUAGUUGGAUUUCUGCUGAGAACGACCGGUCCGCCCUUUGGGUGUGUAUCUGGCUCUUUCUUGGCAUCUUCUUGGUGAACGUUGCUGCACUUGACUGUGUGGAGCGCUACCCAGGACUUUUACUUUGAGGAAAUUAGAGUGUUUCAAGCAGGCAUACGCCUUGAAUACAUUAGCAUGGAAUAAUAAGAUAGGACCUCGGUUCUAUUUUGUUGGUUUCUAGAGCUGAGGUAAUGAUUAAUAGGGAUAGUUGGGGGCAUUCGUAUUUAACUGUCAGAUGUGAAAUUCUUGGAUUUGUUAAAGACGGACUACUGCGAAAGCAUUUGCCAAGGAUGUUUUCAUUGA
rnacentral:rRNA from 1 species